UGGGGAAUAUUGGACAAUGGGCGAAAGCCUGAUCCAGCAAUGCCGCGUGUGUGAAGAAGGCCUGCGGGUUGUAAAGCACUUUCAGCGGGAAAGAAAAGCCUGGGGUUAAUACCCCCGGGUCUUGACGUUACUCGCAGAAGAAGCACCGGCUAACUCCGUGCCAGCAGCCGCGGUAAUACGGAGGGUGCGAGCGUUAAUCGGAAUCACUGGGCGUAAAGCGCACGUAGGCGGCUUGGCAAGUCGGAUGUGAAAGCCCCGGGCUUAACCUGGGAACUGCAUUCGAUACUGCUUGGCUCGAGUGCGGUAGAGGGGGGUGGAAUUCCAGGUGUAGCGGUGAAAUGCGUAGAUAUCUGGAGGAACACCGGUGGCGAAGGCGGCCCCCUGGACCGACACUGACGCUGAGGUGCGAAAGCGUGGGGAGCAAACA
rnacentral:rRNA from 1 species